GACGUAGGUGGCGAACGUUAUCCGGAAUUAUUGGGCGUAAAGGGUGCGUAGGCGGCAUGAUAAGUUAUUGGCGGCAAAUCGAGGCUCAACCUCGUGGAAACUGAUAAUACUGUCUUGCUUGAGUGCAGAAGAGGUUAACGGAACUCCAUGUGGAGCGGUAAAAUGUGUAGAUAUAUGGAAGAACAUCAGUAACGGCGAAGGCAGUUAACUAUUCUGUUACUGACGUUGAGGCACGAAAGCGUGGGGAGCAAAAAGG
rnacentral:rRNA from 1 species